AGUAAUGCAUAGGAAUCUGCCCGGUAGUGGGGGAUAACUUGAGGAAACUCAGGCUAAUACCGCAUACGCCCUACGGGGGAAAGCAGGGGCUCUUCGGACCUUGCGCUAUCGGAUGAGCUUAUGUCGGAUUAGCUAGUUGGUGAGGUAACGGCUUACCAAGGCGACGAUCCGUAGCUGGUCUGAGAGGAUGAUCAGCCACAUCGGGACUGAGACACGGCCCGAACUCCUACGGGAGGCAGCAGUGGGGAAUAUUGGACAAUGGGCGAAAGCCUGAUCCAGCCAUGCCGCGUGUGUGAAGAAGGCCCUCGGGUUGUAAAGCACUUUCAGUGAGGAAGAAGGCUUGUCGGUUAAUACCCGGCAGGAAGGACAUCACCCACAGCGG
rnacentral:rRNA from 1 species